rnacentral:rRNA from 1 species
GACGAACGCUGGCGGCGUGCUUAACACAUGCAAGUCGAACGGAAAGGCCUGCUUUCCCUUGUGGAUUGCGGGUACUCGAGUGGCGAACGGGUGAGUAACACGUGAGUGAUCUGCCCCCAACUUGGGUAUAAGCCUGGGAAACUGGGUCUAAUUCCCGAUAGGACUGCAGGGUGGUGCCUGUGGUGGAAAACGAUUUUCUAGUGGUUGGGGAUGAGCUCGCGGCCUAUCAGCUUGUUGGUGGGGUAAUGGCCUACCAAGGCGGCGACGGGUAGCCGGCCUGGGGGGGGUGACGGGCCAAAUGGGACUGGGGUACCGCCCAGAAUCCUACGGGAGGCAGCAGUGGGGAAUAUUACACAAUGGGCGGAAGCCUGAUGCAGCGACGCCGCGUGGGGGAUGACGGCCUUCGGGUUGUAAACUCCUUUCGACCGCGAGGAAGCCACCUGGUUGGAAGGGUGGUGACGGUAGUGGUAGAAGAAGCACCGGCUAACUACGUG